rnacentral:rRNA from 1 species
CCUACGGGUGGCAGCAGUGGGGAAUAUUGGACAAUGGGGGCAACCCUGAUCCAGCCAUGCCGCGUGUGUGAAGAAGGCCCUCGGGUUGUAAAGCACUUUCAGUGAGGAAGAACGCCUGGUGGUUAAUACCCAUCAGGAAAGACAUCACUCACAGAAGAAGCACCGGCUAACUCCGUGCCAGCAGCCGCGGUAAUACGGAGGGUGCGAGCGUUAAUCGGAAUUACUGGGCGUAAAGCGCGCGUAGGUGGCUUGAUAAGCCGGUUGUGAAAGCCCCGGGCUCAACCUGGGAACGGCAUCCGGAACUGGCAAGCUAGAGUGCAGGAGAGGAAGGUAGAAUUCCCGGUGUAGCGGUGAAAUGCGUAGAGAUCGGGAGGAAUACCAGUGGCGAAGGCGGCCUUCUGGACUGACACUGACACUGAGGUGCGAAAGCGUGGGUAGCAAACAGGAUUAGAUACCCGAGUAGUC